CGGCGGACGGGUGAGUAACGCGUGGAUAACCUGCCUCACACUGGGGGAUAACAGUUAGAAAUAGCUGCUAAUACCGCAUAAGCGCACGGUUCCGCAUGGAACAGUGUGAAAAACUCCGGUGGUGUGAGAUGGACCCGCGUCUGAUUAGCCAGUUGGCGGGGUAACGGCCCACCAAAGCGACGAUCAGUAGCCGGCCUGAGAGGGUGAACGGCCACAUUGGGACUGAGACACGGCCCAA
rnacentral:rRNA from 1 species